rnacentral:rRNA from 1 species
UAGGGAAUCUUCCGCAAUGGGCGAAAGCCUGACGGAGCAACGCCGCGUGAGUGAUGAAGGUCUUCGGAUCGUAAAACUCUGUUAUUAGGGAAGAAUAAAUGUGUAAGUAACUAUGCACGUCUUGACGGUACCUAAUCAGAAAGCCACGGCUAACUACGUGCCAGCAUCCGCGGUAAUACGUAGGUGGCAAGCGUUAUCCGGAAUUAUUGGGCGUAAAGCGCGCGUAGGCGGUUUUUUAAGUCUGAUGUGAAAGCCCACGGCUCAACCGUGGAGGGUCAUUGGAAACUGGAAAACUUGAGUGCAGAAGAGGAAAGUGGAAUUCCAUGUGUAGCGGUGAAAUGCGCAGAGAUAUGGAGGAACGCCAGUGGCGAAGGCGAAUUUCUGGUCUGUAACUGACGCUGAUGUGCGAAAGCGUGGGGAUCAAACAGG